rnacentral:lncRNA from 1 species
AAAGCUUAAUUAUUAAGCUUUUAAACAUGGACCAAUAACAUGGUGACAAGUGUCAAGCUUGAAUUAUUUUAUUAUUUGGCUUUAAAAAUCAGCCCAUAACCCUCCCAACUCAUUUAUCUUGGUCGGCCAAAGACAGAAAAAAAGAAACAAGGAAGAACAAAAACCGUAGAGAGAAAAAUUCAAAGGGAAAUUGUUGAUUUUCAAGGAAUCAAGCCAUUAAAGGUAAAAUUUCUUAAUUCUAACUUGUGAUCUACCUUUCCUAUGCAUUAUUUUACAUUUUCCAUGGUUGAAUUACAAGAUAUCAUGAAGGAUAGUGUGCUGAUCAAACCUUAGGAGAGAGAAUUUGAUGAUGAAUUUAGUUAGAAAACAUGUUAUUCUAGUGUUUUUAGUUGUUUGGUGAUGUGUAGUAUGAAAAGCAAUCAAGAAAAAUUCAUGUUCUUACAUCAUCUUCAUUGGCCGAAUAUUCCAUGUGGAAUAUUGAUGAUGAAUUUGAUUGAAUUUCAAGUGAUUUGAUUAGGAAUGAAUGAUUUAUGGUGUGAUAAUCAAGCAUGAAAAAUUAUAUUGUUAGUGCACUCACCAUGGCCGAAUUUUUCAAGAGAAAAUGUGAAGAUGAUUUUGCCACAUUUCAAGUUAUUUAAAUUGUGUUUAAUGAUUUGGAGUAUUAGGAGAGAAAUGGAAUUGUUUGGAGUUGAAUUAGACAUAAUAGCCAAUUAAUCGAGUGAUAGAUCGAAUUAGGCAAAUACCAUUUUGUUUAGGUACAUAAUUGAAUUUAUAUUGAACAUCGUAAUUAAGUAGUUACCCGAGUAUUUCACAUCCCAUUUCACGCAUUAGUAUAGAGCCUGAAUUGGUUUUACAACAGUUUAACACAAAUGUAGCAAAUUGCUUAUUGUGCAUUAUGUCUAGGUGGUGAGCAUUCUGGCAAGAGUAAAGAGGUAGUAUCCGAGGAUCAAGAAUCAGAGUAUCCCGAAUUCGAUUCCCAUUACAAUGAGUAAUCUUAUUAACGUCUUAAUUAUCUAAAGUAGUUUUUAUUCGUUUUUGUGAUUUGAUAGAAAAAUGAGUUUAAAUGGUAAAUCUUUAUGUUUUAUAAGCAAAAUGUGAUUAAAUGAAAUGAUUUUAUAAAUUGUCUUGAAAUUGAA